GGGUCGGUACCAAAGCGGUCAACUGGGUCAGACUGUAAAUCUGAUGGCUUCGGCCUACGCAGGUUCGAGUCCUGCCCGGCCCA
rnacentral:tRNA from 1 species